UUUGUGACUGCGCUUUUUCCUCAUGGUAGUCACUUGCCUUCCAUUGCUCACGUAAACAAGAAGGAAUACUCCGGUUGGAAAUUUGUUGAAGCUAUAUGUUAAAAACAUCCUAAUGAUUGAUUCUGUACUUAGUUUGAAAUAUUUCUUUGACCGGUAUUAUCACUUUUUGAAGUUUUUGUCCGAUAUAACGCUGACCAGAAUUAGCAUUUGGAUGUGUAUACCAAACGCGCUAACAAAAGAAGGUAUUUCGACAUAAAUAACAUACAUUUUUUAACAAAACAAACAUUUAUUGUGGACUUGGUAUUCCUGGAGUGCUUUCUGAUGUAGAUCAUCAAAGUGUAACGGCUCUCAUCGGAAGAAGAGGAAUCAUCGGACCAAAAUUAAGCAGGGUAAAAGGUUAUGCCAGGUGCAAACUACAAUAUGUGCCCAUGGAGAGCAACCUGGAAAAGAAGAAAAAAGAAAAACAAUUUCGAAGGGAAAACAGGGAACAGAUUGCAAAGCCCAUGGUUUACCCCUCAACUGGGGCAGAGAGAGCACAAAAUGGAAAGGCCAACAGUAGAGCUGUGUGUGUGUGUGUGUGUGUGUGUGUGUGUGUGUGUGUGUGUGUGAGUGUGUGUGUGUGUGUGUGUGUGUGUGUGUGUGUGUGUGUGUGUGCGUGCGUGCAUGCAUGCAUUCGGGUGUGAUGUUCAAAGCCAUAUUUAAUCAGUCCAAUACUUUCAAAGACGGACACAACAGAACGGGAUGUUGGUUGAAAAUGAGGGCAUGACAGAGUGUGAUGGUGCAAGGCAAACAACAUUUAUCAACAAGAGGAUAAAAGAAUCAUGGGGUGCAGUAGUUGUGGCUGGGUUCAGGGUGGGACUACUGCUGUGGUGGAAACACGAUCUCACACUCAAUUCGUGCAAAUACAGUGCAUUCGGAAAGUAUUCAGACACAUUGACUUUUUCCACAUUUUGUUACGUUACAGCCUUAUUCUAAAAUUGAUUACAUGUUUUUUCUCCCUCAUCAAUCUCCCGACUGGCACAGUCAAAGCCACUGCAUCUCAGUGCAAGAGGUGUCACUACAGACCCUGGUUCGUUUCCAGGCACUAUCACAACUGGCUGUGAUUGAGAGUCCCAUAGGGCAGAGCACAAAUGGCCCAGCGUCGUCCCGGUUAGGGUUUGUAAAUAAGAAUUUGUACUUAGUUGUGUUUUGCUGUAUAACACACUUAUGUCUUUUUUGGGAUGCAAACCAGUAAUAUGAAUCACUGUUGCUCCAUCCUGUUCUGAUUUAAUGAAAUGGAUGUAGGAUUUUCUACGGCCUAGAAUCGAACCCUUUCCCAGUCAUGAAGGAUGAAGCUAGGCCCCAUCUUGGUUCUCAUUGGUGAAGACUGAACUCAAGUUAGAGGUUUUAUGUCAGACUAUCCUAUACCACUUUACUCAACAUGUUAUACCCCAGAGGUUGUAAUUAAACCAUUUUUAAGGUGAUACAACUUGUAUAAUUAUUAUAGGGCUGUGAAACCCA
ensembl:lncRNA